rnacentral:rRNA from 1 species
AGGAUGAACGCUGGCGGCGUGCCUAAUACAUGCAAGUCGAGCGGUAAGGCCCCUUCGGGGGUACACGAGCGGCGGACGGCUGAGUAACACGUAGGAACGUACCCCAAACUGAGGGAUAAGCACCAGAAAUGGUGUCUAAUACCGCAUGUGAUCUUCGGAUUAAAGCUCCGGCGGUUUGGGAACGGCCUGCGCAUGAUUAGCUUGUUGGUGAGGUAAUGGCUCACCAAGGCGAUGAUCAUUAGCUGGUCUGAGAGGAUGACCAGCCAGACUGGACUGAGAACCGGCCCAGACUCCGUAGGGAGCAGCGAGUAGGGUAAUUUACCACAAGUGGGACGAAGCCUAGAGUGGAGACAACGCCGCGUGACGAGGAUAGAAGUGUUCGUU